rnacentral:rRNA from 1 species
GUCUAUGGCCAUACGCCCUUAAUCCACCUGAUCUCAGAAGCUAAGCGGGGUUGGGCCUGGUUAGUACUUGUAUGGGAGACUGCAUUCAUGUACUACAUGCA